rnacentral:lncRNA from 1 species
CAAGCUUGAAGGGGAUGACCUAGAUGUUUUCAAGAAGAAUGUUGAGUCUGCCACGAAGUAUCUUCUUAGCAAGCUCAAGGACCUUCAGUUGUAAGUUCUCUCUUUGCCUUGCUCAAAAGUGCAGGCACUGUUUAUCAUUGAUCUGUCCAGACACGUUAGUACUUUAUUCUUACUUUGGUAUUUUAGAUGCUGGUAAUUUAUUCUAUUGAACUUAAAUCAGUGACGGGAUUUUUUUAUAUUUUGGGGAAGGUAGUAAUAAUCUAUCUAUUCAACUUGCGCAAGUUCUAAAACUGGUGUUUCAGCUUUGUUGGCGAGAGCAUGCAUGAUGAUGGCGGCGUGGUGUUCGCGUACUACAAGGAGGGAGCUGCUGAUCCAACUUUCCUGUACUUUGCACAUGGGCUGAAAGAGGUCAAGUGCUAAUGGCACAGUAUGCUAAAAUCUUUGGGGUCGUCAGUAUUUUUGCUCUGCUCUAUGUAUGGUUGUCAGUCGACUCUCCAAUGUUGGUGUCAGUAACUAUCAGAUGUUAAGUGUCUCGAAAACUUUCUGAUAAUUGUGGUAUUUGCUUUGUAAUGGUAAUCGUGAAAUUGGUGUGGUUGUGUUUUGGUCAAUGCCUCGGCUUUUACUCAAUAGUUGAAACAAGAGAUUUUGCCCUGUGAUUCUAUCAGAUUAUCUUGUGUCUUUUGUAACACAGCAAAUGAGCAAAGCAAAAUGAUCAAUCAUCGUUUGAUAAGAAUCAUUUGAAAUCAAGAAC